rnacentral:tRNA from 1 species
CAGAAAAUAGUUUAAUUAAAAUUUUAAUUUUGGAGAUUAAAGAUAGGGGAUUCUCUUUUUCUGA